CCCUGAUAGAGGGAACACUGCACACAGCCAAAACAAAUACUCAGUGGAGAAAGAAAGCAGGGCUAGAGGUGGCUUCCCUCCAUCAUGUACAUCUGGCAAAAAAACCCCAAUGAGAGAUGAAAGGAGAGAGAGGACAGGGAAAGGCCUCAGGGGAGAGUUGUAAGGAAGGUUCCCUCGCUAGAUGAUUUUCUUCAAGCAAAGAUGGGUAAUUCCAGCUCUCUUACAGGUCUUCUCUUUCUAGAAAAGGCAGGUCCUGGGAGGCCAGCUGCAAGGCCACUCCCACAACACGCUUGGCCAGAAUGAGAACCCAGAGGAAGGUGGAGAAUAGAAUGGCGGCUCUGAUGUGGAAAUGGAGGCAGCAGCAUCUGAAGCAGGGAGAGCAGGAGAUCCAGGCCUGGAAGCAGAUGGCAAGGGUGGUUGGAAAGGAAGCCCAGGGACCUGCAGAAGACAGCGGGUGUAUUGUGGAGCUCCUGGAAACAGAGGUCCACCUGGGUAACUUUGGAGCUUGGAUCCAAGGACUUUUGGUGUCUGCCCCCCACCCCACCCCACCCCCACGUAGACAGGAGGAAUGGAGCUGGCCCUCAGCACCCCACACCACCCCCACAACAGGAGAUCGGGCGGGCUGUGCAGGCUGCAAUCCUGCUUGAUUGGUGGGCAGGCUACUGCAGGGCAUCCGGUAUAGGUGUUGCAUCAACCCUGUACAGGUGUGGCAACAACCAGCUUCAGGACAUUUGGGGGGCCCCCCGGGUGCUGGAAAACCAGACUUUGCACCAGAAGUCCAGUCCACAGAGCACCACUACCUGGAAAGGAACACUUUACACUUGAGGACUGUGGGCUUGACUUCACCAAGUCUCAAGACGCCUUUGUGAGUGAAAUGCGGAGCCAUGUGCAGACCAGCUCAGCAAAACCAUACUCCCCCCAUCAGGCCAUUCCCAGGUGUGAUCUUGGCAUGCCCAUCACCGGGGACCCUGAGCAGAGGGAUUGGCCAAAGGAAGAGUGAACUUCCCUGCCAGGAAAGAUGUCGCCGGCCGGCCUUCUGGUUGGUUCCUUACAGUCCAACACUUAAGAGUAAAGCUGAUAUUUCAUUUCUCAGAAGUUUUCAAUUGAUGAGGAUCUCUUCCAGCCCCCUGGAGGCAUCUCCCCUGAACUGGACCGCAGUCUGGCUGCAUCUCAUAGCCUGGUAAAUACAGGACAUCACCAAUCCAAUCCUAGAAACCACACAGGGCCUGAAAAUGUGCUCCUCACUGCAUGCUGAGAAAGAAGCAAGCAUCACCACAAUGUUUCUGACCAUUUAAAAAUCUUUUAUUGUUUUACAAUAAAGUCUAUAAAUUUA